GAUGAACGCUGGCGGCGUGCCUAAUACAUGCAAGUCGAGCGAACAGACGAGGAGCUUGCUCCUUUGACGUUAGUGGCGGACGGGUGAGUAACACGUAGGUAACCUACCUAUAAGACUGAGAUAACUUCGGGAAACCGGAGCUAAUACCGGAUAAUAUUUCGAACCGCAUGGUUCGAUAGUGAAAGAUGGCUUUGCUAUCACUUAUAGAUGGACCUGCGCCGUAUUAGCUAGUUGGUAAGGUAACGGCUUACCAAGGCAACGAUACGUAGCCGACCUGAGAGGGUGAUCGGCCACACUGGAACUGAGACACGGUCCAGACUCCUACGGGAGGCAGCAGUAGGGAAUCUGCCGCAAGGGGCGAAAGCCUGACGGAGCAACGCCGCGUGAGUGAUGAAGGUCUUCGGAUCGUAAAACUCUGUUAUUAGGGAAGAACAAACGUGUAAGUAACUGUGCACGUCUUGACGGUACCUAAUCAGAAAGCCACGGCUAACUACGUG
rnacentral:rRNA from 1 species